AUUCACAGGUUUCUGGCUACCCUGGUUCACAUGGAAUCACAGCCAUGGCUGGCAGCAUCUAUCCAGGUCAGGCAUCUCUUUUGGACCAAACAGAUUCAUGGAAUCAUAGACCUCAGGAGAUAGCAAUGUGGCAGCCCAAUGUGGAGGACUCUACAGCAUUGGACCUGCGAGGGAUUGGGCAAGUGUUGCCAACCCAUCUGAUGGAAGAGCGGCUAAUCCGACAGCAACAGGAAAUGGAAGAAGAUCAGCGCUGGCUGGAAAAAGAGGAAAGAUUUCUGAUGCAGUGUGGGAAAACAGUCUUGUAAUUGAACUCAUUUGCUACUUUGGCAAGACAGCCAAAUCCGUAUAAGCCAUAUUCUGUCAGAAAGCCGCAAGUAAUGCCUGAUAUUUUUAUCCUGGGGUUUCUUCUCAGUGAAGAAGAAAGCCUGCUGUGCUACUUGGAAUAGAGGUGAGGUGCAGGUUGUCCAGCACUGGGUGGGCCAGUGCAGGUGCCAGUCUGUAAGGUGUGCGUGUGUGGAGAGGAAUGCAGUUCUU
rnacentral:sRNA from 1 species